ensembl:lncRNA
GCCAUGCUGUUUUUGGUGGACCUAUUUUGUGUUUUCAAAAAUGUGAUAAAUGGCUUAUUUGAGCCAGUUCAACACAGUAUCUGCUUCUCUUGUUUCCACUUCUGCAGAAUAUGUGGAAGGGAUCCUAAUUUCAUCAUCCUGGAAGUAGAAAGCACUGAAGAUCUGUGUCUCACACCACAGACAGGUGCUGUGUGUAGCAAGAGCAGCACAGAGAAAGGAAGCUCUGCGGAGAAGGCGGUGUGGCAGCAGGCCUCUCCGGCUGUGGAUGUGCUGGGUGGUAACCCCCAGGCUGCGCAGAAUGUGGCUGGGGAGUCACCUCGGCAUGCCCCGCAGCCGGUCGCAGCUGCCCCCUGCCCGAUCCCUCCAUCUGCAAAUCCAUCCAGCAUGUCGCUGUCGGACGGCAACAGCUCAGUAUUCCCUGGCAUGGACCCUUCAGCAGCCUUUUCUGAGACUCUCCCAAGCAGGAAUUCUAAGGACGUCACCUCAGAAGAAGUGUGCACUGAGGAGAGCAUUGUUGGAAUUGCUAAGUCAUUGCCAGUGUCCUUCAGUCAGGACAGUAGUUCCUUUGCUAAGAUGCAAAGGCUCUCAAAUCUUCCUUGUCCCCCACUUGCAGCACGAAUUGACGGCUCAGUGCAAGAGCUUCAGGACGGGCUACAAAGUGGUAAAGAGGAAAGCCUCCCAGAUAGUCAAACAGACCAGAUUCAGCCUCAUCAAGAAAAUACGGGGCUUGUGGUUACUUUGGGGAUCCAGGAAGAACAAUCUAUCGCUUUGGACUACAAUCCCGACUCUGAAACAAAAGGGGAUGUUGGUAGACAAGAGCUCACCGAUAAAAGUGUCCUCUUACAACCCCAAAUUCAUUGCACAGUUUCAUCUUCCCCCACCCCUCCGUCAAGUGUUGGUUUCACAGUUCAAAACCCCACAAACUUUGGGGUUGUGGUGCAGUCAGACAGGGAAACAAUCGUCCUUCAGGGCAUCCACAAAACUCCAUCAGAUACUGCAGAACCAAGAGGUAGUUUCAAGGACUCGAAUGCCUCAGCCUCUUUGCCCUCAGCGGAAAAUGCAGAGGACAAACAAACGAACCUUUCAAAAACAAAACCUAAAACCAUCAGGGAGAUCCCAAACGACGACAGCAAUACGCAAACGGAAAAUUCUUCAGAAUCAAUCGAGGCCUUCAAACACACAAAAGUGGUUGCUGUCACCUCUGUCAAAGAAACACAACCUCAUUCACCUGAAAUACUUGAGACCCCAAAGGCUAAAGAAUCACAGCACGGAUUAGAUUCCUCCCUCGGAGACCAGAGUUCCGUGCCCACCAGUAAUCCCCCUGUAACAGAGCAGGGUGAUGGGGGUGUGAGGGAAGUCCAAACUGAUGCUGCUGCCCCUUCAGUGCUGCCAGAGUUUUCCUCCAAACCUCCUGCAGGGGCUCCCCUGUUCGACACCGACUUGGUUGUCUCACUACAUACAGGGGAGGUCAUCAAGACAGACAUUUCCCAUACCUCUGAUCCAGUCCCUUCCCACGAAACCUCACUGAUUGCUGAGAUUGUUCACUCUGCCAACGCCCAGGAAAUCGUGGUCGUCCGAGAGGGGGCUCAUAUCAGUGGCGACUGGUCAAACAUGCACCUAAAUCAGAGUUACCUGCUGCAACGAGAAGAUGGCACUGUGUGCGAAGCUGCCAUCGUUAACGAACUCUCUCCCGGAGGAGCGAAACUGUAUGAAGACAGUGUUCAGGCGGGCUUGGAACUGGACUCUCAGCCCGUGGAAGUGUAUGAGUUCUGUGGUCUGGUGGAGGAGGUUGCCGAGGAGACGAUAUGUGGCAGCAGUGGCACACAGAUACCUCACUCUCCAGGAUAUGAAGUAAACUUAUUCAAUGCAUUACUGGAAAAUUCUGACGAGUACACCAUCAAAGAGGACAUCGAACCUGCUAUUCACUCAGCUACUGAAAGUGAAACCAUCAUCAUUUCCCAGCAACCUUUGCCUUCUUCAAGUGAGCACGAUUCCCACAGUCUGUCCAUACAAAAAGCAAGGGUAGCUGCAGUCGGGUCGCAUUUGAUAUUAGAUAAUCAAACAGUCGAAGUGUCUCACUCAGGUGAGGUUUGUUUACUUCAAGUAGCUGCAGUUGCUUCAGAGUCUUUCACUGUUCAGCAGGCAGACACAAGUACACAAUUUGGCAUGCACUGCUUACAAGCUAAUGCUACAGAGUCAGACGUAAAAGAAGCACAUGGAUUAGAUUCUCCUAAACCAAAAGCAGAGACAGCAACAUGCUCUUUAGGAACCUCCUCCCCGGUGGUUGAAAUUAGUGGGGGAAACACAGUUUCAGUACAUAUUUCUUGUUUAGAAAACCAGCCUUGUCUUUCCGCUCAUGAAGGGACCAAAGAAACUCCUGCUUUGACUCCAUCACAGAAUAUUCACGCUGUGGUUUUGCCCUCUGAAACUAAACCUGACGGACUCUCCUCCACACAUUACUCUAGCGUCAAUCCAAAGCUGCUCCUUCAGGAGUCAGAAGAAACUCCCCUCCUGAAACAACCGAAUGCGGACGCCACGUUGACAAACUCCCACGGUUCUUGGUCUGCCGCUGAAGGGUGCCUUUCUGCAGAUGUCACAAAAGACUCCUUAUCUCCAUCUGUGGCUCCAAGCAGCCGGGAAGAUCAAACCCAGCGCUCUGAAGAGGAAAAAUCAGCAGCUCCUGUUGAAGCUCAGCAGUGUAGUGUUAGUGCUAGCACACCUCAGACUGAAUCUGACUCUGCAACAGCUUCAACAAACAAACCCGAGGCCUUAACUUCUACCAAAACAUCAACAGACAAAGCAGAUCCGUCUUCUGAAAAUGUUGAAACCCCCACGGACACCACUACACUUGUUUUACCUGAAUCCAUUCGCAUGCUCACAGCACCAGAGGAAAGUGAAUGUGAAGUUGCAAUGGCUACCAGUCCCAGCAAUCCCCUGACAGGCGUCCCAGACUACGAGGAUGACGACAGCGAGGACAUGGAGCAGGACAAACCAGCGGGAGAAACGGAAGUCCAAGAGAGCUUGUCAGGUCAGGUUAGCAGUCAAGAAGAAGACAGUGAUGAGGAAGCAGACGAAAGUGAGAUGACCUCUUCCAGCUCAUCACACAAGGUGCGUCAGUGGAUCUCAGAAAGAGUCUCUGCCAACUCGUCUCCCGUCUCCUCCUCAACUUCAUCUUCCUUCCUCGGGCCUUCAUCCAGCACAGACUGGACAACACCUCGACGAGAUAAGUUGUCGCCUCUCAGAGGUCCCCACGGCAAGUUUGUCUCCCCUUCCUCGGGUGGGUGCUCCGCCUCCUCCCCAACAGACCAGGCCUCCUCUCAGAGGUCCCGUGGAGAGAGACUCACUGACAUGGCAGAACUUGCUAAACAUGUAAGUGAGAGUCGUUUGCUCACAUUUACAAACACAAAAAAACAUCUAAAGGAAUACUGCUAUGACAUUUAUAAACUUGAUUUAAUGCACAUUGACAACCUUUUUUCACCACCACGGUUCCAGUUCCUAACCUCUAACCCGUUAAUUCAAGCUCAACCACCAACAUUUUGUAAAACUGAUUUUAGACGAGCCUUUUUUAACUUUUGGUUCAGAGUAAGAAAAUACAGAACCAGUGACAGUGCAUUCAUAAUGAAAGCAGCUGUGUGCUGCACUGCAGGGGCCGAGUAAAGCAAUCUGAUGUACAAUUAGUGAACUCUAUCUAAAAAUCUGUUUGUUUCCU